UCUAGUGUCACUUAACGCGCCUUAUAAUGCGAUGCGCCCUAUGUAUGGAAAAAUACCAGAAAAUAGGCGUUCUUUGAUAGUGCGUCUUAUAAUACGGUGCGCCUUAUAGUCCGAAAAAUACGGUAACUUAAUAUGUGAUAUGUAUUGUAUGUAAACUCCACCAGAAGCAUGAUGGGAAAUAAUGUCAGAAAGAAUCUAGUUGCAGUCUUGCAAAUAGUGAUCCCCAGUCUUUGUAAAAACUUAGCCUGUGACUAAAAGGUCUUUGACGUAAUUUAAAAGAUAAAUUAACAGUCCCUCCAACAGUAUAACAUCCAUUACAACAAAGAAAUCCUCUACAAAAAAAAACAUUUCCUUACUUUUUGUGCUAUGUUUGAUAUAGCACUCAGCAUUACUCCUACUGCUGCUUUAACACACACUCUGAACCUCUGAGAGGACCUGCUAAUUAACUGAUUAGUGGAAUCAGGUGUGUUGGGGAGCAGGGAAAGCAAUCAGUGUGCAGUGCAGGAGUUCCAGCAGCAGGAUAGAGAAACUCUGUGGCAGUGUGGGGGUGUAUUCAUGCAUUGCUUCUAUGGAGGUGAAGGUCCAGGCAUCAUUCCAGUCAUGAUCUCUGAAGCUCAAUCAAGCCGCUGGCGGUUUGGCUGAUGGUGACGUCGCACUGAGGAUCAUCCUGGCAGACUAAGCUAUGGAGAACCGCUGGAAAAUGUAGCUGGUGUUGUAGGAGAGGACUGAUCAUCAGCUCAUUAGAGAACGGACUCUGGCGCAGUGAGCGGCAGUGCUGAGAUGGAUCUUGUCCUCUGGGGAAUGAUGAAGGUGUGAGCACGAGGGAUGUGGGAAUGGGGAAGUAUUUGGAGAAGAUCACAAGAGAUCACAUCAUCUAAUCUUCUGUGGGCUGAGAUUAAGGUU